GUGGGGAAUCUUGCGCAAUGGGCGAAAGCCUGACGCAGCCAUGCCGCGUGAAUGAUGAAGGUCUUAGGAUUGUAAAAUUCUUUCACCGGGGACGAUAAUGACGGUACCCGGAGAAGAAGCUCCGGCUAACUUCGUGCCAGCAGCCGCGGUAAUACGAAGGGGGCUAGCGUUGCUCGGAAUUACUGGGCGUAAAGGGCGCGUAGGCGGACAGCUUAGUCAGAGGUGAAAGCCCAGGGCUCAACCUUGGAAUUGCCUUUGAUACUGGCUGUCUUGAGUGUGGGAGAGGUGAGUGGAACUCCGAGUGUAGAGGUGAAAUUCGUAGAUAUUCGGAAGAACACCAGUGGCGAAGGCGACUCACUGGCCCAAUACUGACGCUGAGGCGCGAAAGCGUGGGGAGCAAACAGGAUUAGAAACCCCAGUAGUCC
rnacentral:rRNA from 1 species